rnacentral:rRNA from 1 species
GGCGGACGGGUGAGUAACACGUGGGUAACCUACCUAUAAGACUGGGAUAACUUCGGGAAACCGGAGCUAAUACCGGAUAAUAUAUUGAACCGCAUGGUUCAAUAGUGAAAGACGGUUUUGCUGUCACUUAUAGAUGGAUCCGCGCCGCAUUAGCUAGUUGGUAAGGUAACGGCUUACCAAGGCAACGAUGCGUAGCCGACCUGAGAGGGUGAUCGGCCACACUGGAACUGAGACACGGUCCAG